CCUACGGGAGGCAGCAGUGGGGAAUUUUGGACAAUGGGCGCAAGCCUGAUCCAGCAAUGCCGCGUGAGUGAAGAAGGCCUUCGGGUUGUAAAGCUCUUUUGUCAGGGAAGAAACGGUGGGAGCUAAUAUCUCCUGCUAAUGACGGUACCUGAAGAAUAAGCACCGGCUAACUACGUGCCAGCAGCCGCGGUAAUACGUAGGGUGCAAGCGUUAAUCGGAAUUACUGGGCGUAAAGCGUGCGCAGGCGGUUUUGUAAGACUGUCGUGAAAUCCCCGGGCUCAACCUGGGAAUGGCGAUGGUGACUGCAAGGCUAGAGUUUGGCAGAGGGGGGUAGAAUUCCACGUGUAGCAGUGAAAUGCGUAGAUAUGUGGAGGAACACCGAUGGCGAAGGCAGCCCCCUGGGUCAAAACUGACGCUCAUGCACGAAAGCGUGGGGAGCAAACAGGAUUAGAUACCCUGGUAGUCCACGCCCUAAACGAUGUCUACUAGUUGUCGGGUCUUAAUUGACUUGGUAACGCAGCUAACGCGUGAAGUAGACCGCCUGGGGAUCGGUCGCAAGAUUAAAACUCAAAGGAUUGACGGNNGAGAGNGCGAGACGACGACGAGGGAGGAGG
rnacentral:rRNA from 1 species